rnacentral:rRNA from 1 species
GACGAACGCUGGCGGCGUGCUUAACACAUGCAAGUCGAACGGAAAGGCCCUGCUUUUGUGGGGUGCUCGAGUGGCGAACGGGUGAGUAACACGUGAGUAACCUGCCCUUGACUUUGGGAUAACUUCAGGAAACUGGGGCUAAUACCGGAUAGGAGCUCCUGCUGCAUGGUGGGGGUUGGAAAGUUUCGGCGGUUGGGGAUGGACUCGCGGCUUAUCAGCUUGUUGGUGGGGUAGUGGCUUACCAAGGCUUUGACGGGUAGCCGGCCUGAGAGGGUGACCGGGGAAAUUGGGACUGAGAUACGGCCCAGACUCCUACGGGAGGCAGCAGUGGGGAAUAUUGCACAAUGGGCGGAAGCCUGAUGCAGCAACGCCGCGUGCGGGAUGACGGCCUUCGGGUUGUAAACCGCUUUAGCCUGUGACGAAGCGUGAGUGACGGUAAUGGGUAAAGAAGCACCGGCUAACUACGUG